UACGUAGGGCGCAAGCGUUGUCCGGAAUUAUUGGGCGUAAAGAGCUCGUAGGUGGCUUGUCACGUCGGGUGUGAAAGCUUGGGGCUUAACUCCAGGUCUGCAUUCGAUACGGGCUGGCUAGAGGUAGGUAGGGGAGAACGGAAUUCCUGGUGUAGCGGUGAAAUGCGCAGAUAUCAGGAGGAACACCGGUGGCGAAGGCGGGUCUCUGGGCCGUAACUGACGCUGAGGAGCGAAAGCAUGGGGAGCGAACAGG
rnacentral:rRNA from 1 species